rnacentral:tRNA from 1 species
CUUUCUGUAGCUCAGUCGGUUAGAGUGCUGCACCGGAAUCGCAGGGCCGCAGGUUCGAUUCCUACCAGAGGGU